ACAUAGGAAAAAAACAGUUAUACAGAAAUACAGAAAGAAAGAAAGAAAGAAAGAAAGAAAGAAAGAAAGAAAGAAAGAAAGAGAGAGAGAGAGAGUGCUUGUGUGUGAAGUAUAUAAGCAAACAAUCUCAAAAAAGCUCACUUCACUCCACUGUACGAACUCUCUCCUGAGAGGACCAAAGAAAACACCUAAAACACACACUCACUCUGUGUUCUAUCUCAUAAUCCAUAUAGAAAUUGAUGUUGGGAUCGAAAUAACAUAGUGUCACGCGGAAGCUAACAAUUCUAAACCUUAAAUGACGAUAAGUCAGAAACAAAAAAGGUAUACUAAAAGGUCACUUCCUUGUGUACAUAUAUACACGUACGAUCUAGUUCUUUGAUCAGUUCUGUAUCAGUGUAAAUGCUUUGCCCCUUUUUCCAAUUUUUGUUGAUUCUUUGGUCGAAGAAAAAAGCAGAUUCAGAUAAAAAUGGAGUUGUUCGGUUGGUUACAGUCCGAUCAACAGUCGGAAUGGAUUUCCGUGAGGCUGGAAACCGGUCUCGAAGAAUCAAUGUGAAGGUUCGGAUUGUAUAUAACCGGGUCGUGCGGAUAUGGUGCUAAAUGCCGGUAUAUUCAUCCACCUGAUCGAAGCUCUGUAAGUUGUUGAUCUCGUCUUAGUUGUGUUAAUUAAGCACACUAAUCAGAUGUAAAUCUAAUAUUUAAAGUUACUAUCCUCAUUACAUUUUUAAUGGAGCCCAUAGCUUCAUAGAGAAUCGUGAACCGACAAGCUUAUUAAAUUGGAUUUAACUUAUAUACACUUAACUGGUUAAAGUAUUCAUACACUAUCGGUUAUUUACUUUACUUUUAUAGGUUACCCAAUUAGGCAUAUUCUAGAAAGUUACAUGUAAAAAGUGGCACUAUAUGCCCAGAAUUUUAUGCUUUUAUCUUUGUAUCACUAACAAGAUGGAAGUAGAAAUGAACUAUUUUUACUACGUCUUCCGUCCCAAUUAUGUGAAGGUAUCUGAUUGGGCACUGAGUAUGAGAACGAAAUUAAGACUUUUGAAACUUGCGGUUUAUAAUAAGCUAUAGAUAUUUGUGUGACAAUUAAGGGCAUAAUAGAAAGUUUAAAGUUAAAUUGUCACUAAAUAUAGAUAGGUGUCAUUUAUCUGAGACUGACUGAAAAGGAAAGAGUGUCACAUAAAUUGGCACGGAGGAGUAGGUUUUUUCAUCUUGUGGAUAUUCUAUUAGUUUCUUGGAAUGGAAAGUAUGAGUUGCUUUAACCUUUACUUGGGAGCAGUGGCGGAGCCACACUACGCCAAGGGUGUUCAUCCGAACCCCCUCGACAGAAAAAAAUAUUGUUUUACAAGGUUAAAAUUAUUUUUUAUGUAUAUAUAGUGGAUGUUGAACCCCUUAGGCUUCUUCGUAUGUUUAUUUUUUUAUAUUUUGAACUCCCUCGGUGGAAAUCCUGGCUCCGCCACUGCUUGUGAGUUGCUCGGAUUUCAGGUUGGUGCGGUGCAGUUGGGAGGAAGUGAACACCCGGAACGAGUAGAAGAGCCUACAUGCCAGUACUAUCUAAGAACGGGGCCUGUAAAUAUAGUGCAUCACGCAAGUUCCACCAUCCAAGAAACUUGGGUGGAUCCUCAAACAAUAUACCACUAGAUGUUAAUGGAUACCUAUUACGCCUGAUAAUCGAUCUAUUGCAU